GCGCGAAAACUCUACAAUGCACGAAAGUGUGAUAGGGGAACUCAGAGUGCUUAUACUUUUAGUAUAGGCUUUUGCCAAGUCGAAAACGCUUGGCGAAUAAGUGGUGGGCAAGACCGGUGCCAGCCGCCGCGGUAACACCGGCGCCACGAGUGGGAAUCGAUUUUAUUGGGUCUAAAGCGUCCGUAGCAGGCUUACUAAAUUGCUUGUGAAAUUGUAGAGCUUAACUCUACGAAUCGCAGGUAGGACUGGUAGGCUUGAGACCGGGAGACGUUGAAGGUAUUUGGGGGGGAGCGGUAAAAUGUGAGAAUCCCCCAAGGACCACCUGUUGCGAAGGCGUUCAACAAUAACGGGUCUGACUGUGAGGGACGAAAGCUAGGGGAGCGAAAUGG
rnacentral:rRNA from 1 species